UCAUAGUUCCCUUUUUGUUACUUUGUUAGUGCAUUCAGAGUAUGGUAUGUGUUCCAUAAACCAUGGGAGUGGAGGGGCAAUGGCGCAGGGUGAGGAGCGGCUGUCGUAGGCCCUCGAUGUGGCGCUCCCCCGUCAGUCCUUUGCCAUGAGGGACGCGACCUGCUACUCGCACCGCUGCUCCAGAUAUGCUUGAUCUCAUGAGCCUGUGGAAUCCAGUGAUAUGGAAAAUGUAUUUGAAUUGUCUGGAGGGGGCAAAGGCGCAAGGCGAGGAGCGCCCGUCGCAGGCACUUGAUGUGGCACUCCCCCGUCAGUCCUUUGCUAUGAGGGAUGC